CAGAAGUCCGCCCGCCGUACUCCUCCUUCUCUCUCCUCAAGAUCGCCGUGCUCCUCCGUUGAAGAACAUAGAGAUGGGUGUGAAAGGUAGACUGAGCUUUCUUAAACUUUUGGUAUGAGUGAUUCUGGAAUGGAAUUUGAUUUUUUCCUUUCCGAGUCCUCACAUGCCAAAGGUUUCCGAUAGUUCCUUCCUUUCAUUUUAUCUCCUAAUUGGUGUACCGGUUACUUGGAUCUGCUAAGAGGUAUUUUAUAUUAUUUCGAGUUAGAAGAUCAAGAAUCAGAAAGAUCUUUGCUUUUGGAUGGUCUUAUACUGGUUUUAGAAGUUAAGACUUAAGACUCUGUGGUUCGGGGGAACUAAUGAUAUGCUUGAGUUUGUAAAACUUUUAUGAAAUGCUUCUGCACACUGCAAUUGCUUAAAUGGUACGUAAAAACUGCAAUUGCUUGAAUGGUAUGUCAGAGGUGCAUUAUAAUCCAUGCAUUUUCUGUAUUUGUAGUAUUUAUAGACCUGAUCCCUGUGAUACAGCAGCUUUCAGAAUGUAACUUCAAUGAUAAUUUGGCUUUUUAUUCUGUGGAA